rnacentral:rRNA from 1 species
UGGGGAAUCUUGCACAAUGGGCGAAAGCCUGAUGCAGCGACGCCGCGUGCGGGAUGAAGGCCUUCGGGUUGUAAACCGCUUUCAGCAGGGACGAGGCCGCAAGGUGACGGUACCUGCAGAAGAAGCCCCGGCUAACUACGUGCCAGCAGCCGCGGUAAUACGUAGGUGGCGAGCGUUAUCCGGAUUUACUGGGCGUAAAGGGCGUGUAGGCGGCUAGAUAAGUGUGAUGUUUAAAUCCAAGGCUUAACCUUGGGGUUCAUUACAAACUGUUUAGCUUGAGUGCUGGAGAGGAUAGUGGAAUUCCUAGUGUAGCGGUAAAAUGCGUAGAUAUUAGGAGGAACACCGGUGGCGAAGGCGGCUAUCUGGACAGUAACUGACGCUGAGGCGCGAAAGCGUGGGGAGCAAACAGG